rnacentral:rRNA from 1 species
UACGUAGGGAGCGAGCGUUGUCCGGAUUCAUUGGGCGUAAAGAGCUCGUAGGCGGUCUGUCGCGUCGGCUGUGAAAACCCGGGGCUCAACCCCCGGGCCUGCAUUCGAUACGGGCAGACUAGAGUUCGGUAGGGGAGUCUGGAAUUCCUGGUGUAGCGGUGAAAUGCGCAGAUAUCAGGAGGAACACCGGUGGCGAAGGCGGGUCUCUGGGCCGUAACUGACGCUGAGGAGCGAAAGCAUGGGGGAGCGAACAGG